rnacentral:ncRNA from 20 species
AUCAGAGUAGAUAAAGAGCGAUUAGUGCUGGAAAAUGGGUUGUUGUUUCCAGACGAAACUUCCGAUUCUUUAUCGCAACCGCUGAC